UUUGAGAAAGAAAACCCUUUUCUCAAGAC
rnacentral:piRNA from 1 species